AUAAACAAGAUGGCGACCCGAAACACACCUACCACAGUGCGCAGGCGCGGAUACACACUGUGGAAUGCCAUGACAACAUACUAUGUCAUUUCCGGUGCUGGACCGGAAACACUGUCUAUCUUAGAUGCAGCGACGACGAGUGCGUUCCACACAGAGCCUGCCGGCGACACGCAUGCCGCGAUCUCCUUCCUCCUGGGACAUCGAGGAAAGCUGCGCCAAAGGUGUCUGGAAGCAGUUCGUCUCCACAGAAUGACCCCGUUCGUUCAAGGAGAGACAAUCUAAACCCGUCUACGGCCAGCACAAUCUCCUUGUUUACCUUAUAACAUCAGUACGGGGACGCAUUAUGUCAACUAAAACAUACAGGAUCCCAUCUACGUGCCCAUUGAUGUAUUAUGUAUUCCGUGAAGCCAUCUCAACUGGAGGAAAUAAUUGCUAAUGAACGUUCCGCCGGAGCGCAGAACGCAACUACAAUUAGCCGUCCCCCAUCGGCCGCAGAGAACAGAAGCAACCUGGCUCCAUCCACUUAAAAUAUGAAGUUCAUCGUUGCAUUCAUCACCUUAAUUACCUUACUAAGUGUGUCCUCAUAAAUUUCCCCCCGCAAACUCAUCCACGGGAACAAUAAUUAUCUUACAGCAGACAAACUACUAAAAAAUGUUUAUGGAAAAAAGAAGUCCCAAAGGCAGAAGAAGUGUUAGCGCCUCAAAGUGCACAGCUGAUGUGUUAGUCAAACACACAAAGCAGACCCGACAUUUAUCAUGCUUCCUUCGAAUGGAGUUAAUAAAGGUGAAAAAAAAAAAACACAAAAAAACCAAAAGUGACAAAAGCCGUUAACAUCAAGAGCUGGAAAGGUUAGUUACGGGCCCAUUGUGGUCCAUCAGGAUGCAGCAGGUUAAAGGAAGCAGAGCCUGUGGCGAUAGGUGCCACAAGUUGGGAAGGUC